UACCUUUAUCUGGGGAAUAGCCUUUCGAAAGGAAGAUUAAUACCCUAUAAUAUAUUGAAUGGCAUCAUUUGAUAUUGAAAACUCCGGUGGAUAGAGAUGGGCACGCGCAAGAUUAGAUAGUUGGUGAGGUAACGGCUCACCAAGUCAAUGAUCUUUAGGGGUCCUGAGAGGGAGAUCCCCCACACUGGUACUGAGACACGGACCAGACUCCUACGGGAGGCAGCAGUGAGGAAUAUUGGACAAUGGGUGAAAGCCUGAUCCAGCCAUCCCGCGUGAAGGAUGACGGUCCUAUGGAUUGUAAACUUCUUUUGUACAGGAAUAAACCUACUCUCGUGAGAGUAGCUGAAGGUACUGUACGAAUAAGCACCGGCUAACUCCGUGCCAGCGGCCGC
rnacentral:rRNA from 1 species